rnacentral:lncRNA from 1 species
AUGUUAUACCCAGCCACUCUCAGUAGGUUGCAGAAAGAGGACAUACAUAUAAUCACAAUAUGUCUUCAGAGGGAUCUGGACAUUGAACACUCCUUUACCGUCAAAAGACUUCUACUUUUUAGUAAAUAAUUG